CGCAACCAAAAAAAAUUAGUCGCCAAAUUAGUACUUUUAGCGACUAAUAUUUUAGUCGCCGUUGAUUGAAAUUUGGCGACUAAAAAAAUUUGUCGGCGAAAGAACCUGUUUUUGCGACUAAUUUGAUCUUUUAGUCGCCAAAAGUUUGGGGAGAAAUUUGAAACGUGGGGCGGGAAUUGAAUUUCAGAAAAAAAAAAAAAUUAAAGCCCUGAUCUUCUUCGUCUCUAUCUAAAAAAAGCCCUAAUCUGUGUCUCUCUAUGUUGGCCCGCCCCUCCCUCUUUCUGUGUUCUCUCUCUCAAUCGGUGCCCACUCUCUCUAGCUCACCGAAGUCCCUCACCACCAUUGCUCACGUCGGUCGCACGUCGCCACCGCUGCAAAUCGCCAUCGCCAAUAAUUUUCUACUUCACACUGUUGAUGCAUCAAUCGAACCCAGAUUAGGAACCCAGAUUGGAUGUCUCUCUCUCUUUCCUUUCUCUUCAUCGGCAUCAAUUUUCUUCCUAUGAACGAAGAUCAAUCGAAAACGACGACAUCGAUCGCCUCCUUCUCGUCCAUUCCGAUCUCUCCUCUCUCAGUCACCAGAUUUUACGUGAUCAGAAGGAAAUUGUUUUCACCGAGUUCGACGUCUUUUUCGUGAUACAGAUGAUCAAUUGCUUCUCUUUCAACCUCUUGGCCUCUAACCUAGGUAAUAAAUUCCCACCUGAACAAUUUGAUCUCUUGUUCUUGAACUUCACAACGAUUUCAAUUGGUUUAGGGCUUCACAUGUUUAUUAAAUCAAUAUUAGUGUUGUUGGAGAUAUGGGUUUUAUUAGAUUCGUAUCAAUUUUGAUUGGAUUCGAUGCUAAAUUGAGGUUUGAUUGAGUUGUCAAGCUAUUACAAUUCAAGUAUUAAUGCACCAAACCAAUUGAUGGUUUGAAAACACCUAUAUGGUUCCUGGAAUUGUAUAAUGCAUACAUACCAAUGAAAUUUUUGUAAGAAGUUUAUGCAUUGGUUCUAGAUGUGUUGAAAGGGUACAGUAUAAUGGUUCAUGAUUACGAAUGGGUGUGACUCUCUUUUUUAUUUUAUUUCAAUAUCUGCAUACCAUUUGGAGUUUCAUAAUUCUCUGCAGAUGUACUGCCUGUCUGCCUAAAGUACUGAACUUUUAUUCUUAUGUGUAUUGUAGGGGCUUUUUGGUAGAUAAAAAGAGGGGGUUUAAUUGUUAGAGUCGAAGCAAGAGGAGGAGACGAGAUCAUGAAUACUGGGUUUUUGGAGGGAUUCUAUCUAGGGUUUCGAGUGCGAUGGCAUUGGAUGCGCCCUACCUGUUGAAGCUCCUCCUAAGGUUAGUCCUCCCGUCGCUACCACACCUCUGGUCUCGUCCUCUCUCUCUCUCUCUCUCUCUCUCUCUCUAUUGCUCCAUCAGAUCUGGUCUCAAACACAUGAUUUACUAUCUCCUAGCUCU